UACGUAGGGUGCAAGCGUUGUCCGGAAUUUAUUGGGCGUAAAGAGCUCGUAGGCGGUUUGUUGCGUCGGCUGUGAAAUCCCCGAGGCUCAACCUCGGGUCUGCAGUCGAUACGAGCAAACUAGAGUGUUGCAGGGGAGACUGGGAAUUCCUGGUGUAGCGGUGAAAUGCGCAGAUAUCAGGAGGAACACCGGUGGCGAAGGCGGGUCUCUGGGCAACAACUGACGCUGGAGGAGCGAAAGCGUGGGGAGCGAACAGG
rnacentral:rRNA from 1 species